AAUAUAAUAAACAAGGUCUCAUAUAUUAAAACAACCAUGUUGCAUUACAAAGAACACGAUCCAAAGAUUACAAGAUGUCAAACUAUCUAGUAGUAGCCAAAUUCUCGACCUUGCAAUAAACUUUAAUGUUUCAAACAUUGUCCUAAAAAUGACAUUCUAAUUAUCUAGUGGUAGCCCCGUUCUUAUCCUUGCAAUCAGCAUCCGAGCCAUGCAUCAUCCAUUUUAUCUUGGCAAUCUACAAAAACAAAGAAAUAGGAAGAAUAACUUAGUGUAUAAAAAAUCACGUUAAUAGAUCAGCAAAAUGUAAAGGAGGAGCAACAUACAAAGGUUGAAGGUCAUGAUAUUAGUAGCUUUGUAUGCAAAAAAAGUAUAGUAAUAGCCUACAUCUGACAAACACUUUUGACCCUUGUUUUCUUAUGAAAAAUCUACUAUAUGCCAAUUGAGUUAACGUAAACCUUUAUAGAUAACAUACUAUUUAAGAAAUGAGGUACUUCCUUUAAAAAAUCAUGUGCUAACAGAUAACACAUCCUUUGGUUUCAAAGAAAGAACUGUAGUUCUCCAGAAAAUACAAAUGGACGCAAGGUUUCAACAAUACAAAAAUAUUUUAUGUUCAAAGAAAAUGAUUCACACCAGGCUAAAUUUGGAUGUUCCUAAAUUAGGUAUCGUCAUACAUGCUCACAAAUGUGAUUUAACAAGAGAGAUAUUUAUAUACUAGGAAAUUUCCCUUGUGUUGCAAUGGGGGGAUAAUUAUUCUAGUGGGUCAACAUAAAGUAUGUCAAAAAAAAUCCUUUUGGGGAUUGACAUGUACAUCGGAUGACAUAUUUUAAUGAAACACAAUCAACAUUUUUCUACCACAAAAUCAUUCUUAUUCACCACUAUAUUUGCCUCCUAAAUCCAAGCAACUAAUAUGAAAACAAAUGACUGGAUUUUGAUAAAGUGCCCUUUAUCCAAUAAAGGUACAUAACUAAAUUUCAUCAUAUAUAAUUCAAACCAAGCCAAUUCUGCGAACAAGUUAAACAGGUACACUCUACUACAUACAGUUGUACAACUGGAUGUCAUGUGUCUAGUGCAAUUCUAUCGUGAAUCAUGUACUGGUUAUAAUUUGUGAGUUAUGUGAAGGUCACAUCUUAAGUGGAUUUUGAGUUAACUUCUCGUGAGCUCUCCUAUCCCAUUAUUUUUGCUCCCUUGAAAUCUUACUACCUACUCAAUGGUUAAACAUUAGUACAACAGUAGCAAGGCGAAUUUUAGUGCAACAAUGCAAAGUUAGUAACAAGAUAAUUUAGUAAAACAAGGUACAUUUUCGUACAAAAUUGAUAUAGUAAUCUUUACCACAAGAAGUCUAACUAUCUUGCCAAAAUGGUAUAUUAGCCUCUAAGCUACAGGACCCUUAGCAACUCCAUAUUCAACUGUACAGAUAAGUUAAUGCAAUAUUUAGAUCAACAUAAAAUCUACAGGGAUUCUAGAAGAGAUGCAUUGCAUCAAAAUAGGAUUGGUAGUAACGUAGAUUGGGAAAUUGCAAACUUCUUUGCUCAAAUAUCAUCUACACAUGAUCUUUUAGUAGAUAUCUAAGACAUUUGUUGUUUCUACAUAAGCGUGCGCGUACGAAGAAGUUAAUAUUUGAGAGCAAGCCAGAAGAACUAACACAUACUUUUCAGCAUCCCAGCUCCAGACAUCUCACGACUAUUCAGCUUGGCAUCCACCUUUUCUUUUACAGAUUGGGGAAUCUCUUUGUAAUCUGUAAACACCAAAGCAGGGUUGUGACAUGUAGAACCAUGAGUUCUCUGAUUGAUUAAUUGGAGCAAGGUAAAAUCUUACAGGGUUCUGACACAAGCACUGAAGUUCUCACUGAAACAAGUCAG
rnacentral:lncRNA from 1 species